CUGGAGGCUCUUCCCAGCCUUUAUGUACCAGGGGCUAAGAAACAGGCAGGUCAGAAUCUUACCGGUAGCUGAAGCUAGAAAAUGUAAAGCACUAAAGCUAUCAGAGGACCCACUUCUUUUUUUUUGUAAUAUAGUGAUGAACUUGAACUCCUGGCCUCAAGCAAUCCUUCCACCUUGGUCUCCCAAAGAGCUAUAAGCUAUAAGCUAUAAGCCACUGUACCCAGCAAAGGCCCCAUUUCAACAUGCAGAGCAAGUCAGUGUGCAAUGAAGGGAGAGAUACUUUACUUAUGGUAACACUGGUAAUGUCCUGAUUGCUGUUAAGUUCCCAAUUUCAGUAAUGCCUGAAGCCCUACUAUAUCCUUGUUCUUUGUGGCCAGAUUCUUUAACUUUCCCUUGGAUUGAAGUAGACUCCCCCAAAUCCUUCUUCUUGUUAAAGUAGCUUGAAUUGGAGUCACAGGAACAAUUGUCCAGAAGCCUGUAACAAUUAAUUCCCACUGGAGCAGGAGAUGAGGAUACCCUGCUGGCAAUGAGCAUUUUAUUUCUCUCGCUUUAAUAAUUUGUAAUGGUUUUAAUUUACAUUUAUUUAACUACCAGUGAGGUUAGAUUUUUUUCAUAUGCUUAUUAGCCAUUGGUAUUUCUCUUUUAUAUAUUGAUAUAGUUUGGAUAUUUGAUCCCACACAAAACUCAUGUUGAAUUGUAAUCCCUGGUGCUGGAGGUGGGGCCUCGUGGGAGGUGUUUGGGUCAUGGGGGCGGAUCCUUCAAUGACUUGGUCCUGUCUUUGUGAGAGUAAGUUCUUGUGAGACUGGGUCAUUUAAAAGUGUGUGUGGCACCUCCCCCAUCACUCUCUCUCUUGCUCCUGCUCUUCCAUGUGAGACACCUGCUCCCACUUUGCCUUCUGCCACGAUUGGAAGUUUCAUGAGGCCUCCCCAGAAGCUGAGAAGAUGCUGGUAUGCUUCCUGUACAGCCUGUAGAACAGUGAACCAAUUAAAUUUAUUUUCUUUAGAAAUUAUCCAGUCUCAGGCAUUUUUUAAUAGCAAUGCAAGAAUGGCCAAAUACAUGUAUGUUGGUGUACAUUCUGAGGCCUCAAGCAAAGCAUGAGAAGGAGUCACCAUUUCUCCUAGAACCAUCCUUCUGAGGACUCUCAGGACAAAUUGAGCAUGCAGUUGUGAACUCAGAUGCUGGAGAAGUUUCUCCAACUGAAGUUGGCUUAAGUUUGCUCUGGGUUGUGCUGCAGUGAGCUUUGGAGACAAGGUGUUUGAUGCUGCAAUUCAGUGAAUUAGCUUCCUCUGGGCCUUGAGAAUACCUGAUCCCACCCCCAUCUUCUGUCCUUGCUUCUCUUGAUUGAUACCAGUUGAAGAUUUGAACUUUGAUCUUGUUUGCCUGUCUCCUUUGUGAUGCAUAAUGACUUACAUAUGUUUAAGUAGAAUAUUUAUGAUAAAACCACCUGGUUUCUCUAAAGAAUACUAGGAGGAAUGACUCAUUUUUCCCCCUGAUUAGAGUGCAGAACAUUGCCUUUUUGGUUUUAGUUUUGUCUAGCAGUACUUCUGCUAUUGUGACAAAUGUUAUGGAGCACUGUGUACCAAAAUAGAUGUCGUAUCCAUCUCAAAUCACCGACACUAACAAUAGAAAGGAAAAGUAAUUAAAAAUAAAACCUCUCAAAAGAACACAUCCUCCAAGGAAAGGAAAAUGAGACGUAGCAUGUUAAUUCCACAAGCAGACGCAUCUAAAGCCUCUCUCGGGAUAGUGGAAAACACAGCAAACAUCUGGGAGAUUUCAACUGUGAAAGAAAAUUAUAAUCAUUGGUUACAAAGACUUUUCGUGCCCCUUGCUUGUAAACAGUCGAAUAAGUCCAUGGAAAAGUAUAUACAUAGGAGGAAUCAUGAAAUCUCAAACUAAAUAUCCCUAGUCAGGAUAAAAGAGUAAAUUUCGGGCAGAAAUUCAGGAAACUACUGGAAAAAAAAUCUGUUUCCAAAUCUGAACUUUAGAAUACAACUCAUAAAUCAGCCCCCAAUUACCUCACUGGCCUUGUGGCCUGCAAUCCUCCCACACUGGCCCCUCCUGGCUGCUUGAAUAUAUUAGGGCUUCUCACUCGCUGGUGCUACUGCCUAGUAUGCUCUGUGUAAGUGUGGCUUUCUCCCUCACUUCCUUCAGAUGUCAGCUAACAUAUCACUUCCUAGCUUUAGUCCUGAAGGGGUUUUCCUCAUUACACUUAUUAUUUCCUGACUAAUUACACAUGCGUGUAUGCUUGGUUGUUGCUUAUCUUCCCUUUCUAGAAUGUUAGCUCCUUGAGGGAAAGGACUUUGUUUUGUUCAGUGUUAACAUUCUGGAACUUGAGAUGGUGCUUGGCUCAUGGAAAAUACACACUGGUAUUUGUUGAAUGAAUAAAUGAAAAGUAUAAAAGAAUGGGAAAAACAGAAUGUGUGGUGAUGUGACGUCCCACCCAGAUCCCUCUGUAAGGAAGGAGGACUUGUUGCCCCACAGCCUUCAGCUGUCAGCCCUUUCAGAUCACCUCAGCUGCAGAGGUGAGCUGCCAAGGUUACAUCAUUUUGUGGGUGGGCCACACACAAUGACUGAUUGAGGCAAAGGUGUGAAGAAAAGGCCAUGUGGUUUUAACACAGGAAAAAUAUGAAGUUGAGCCACAUUAACUCCGAGAUGGCCAAGGCUGCUGGUCUGAAUCAUAGGUGGGUUCCUCCCUUGAUCGACCCCACAUUUCACCUCUCCUUCCACAGGUAUUGAUCCAAGUGACACUCCCUAGUAAACAUCUCAAAACCGAAGUUCGCUUUCUAGAAAACCCAAAAUGCAACAAGAUGAAAAAACAAGAAGUAUCUCUUCUUUACAAUUUACUGUCCUAUUUCAUAACACUAUGUCUUCAUCCAAAAAUAAAUUCCUUCAUUUGGCAGAUAUCUGUGGAGAAACUAUUAUGUUUCCGGCACUGUUCUGGGCACUGAUGUGAUGGAAAUUAAAACACCAACAAGUCUCAUGAGCUCUGUGAACUUUAUAUCCUAGUAGGGUAAAAAUAAUAAGGAAGCAAAUAAAAGAAAAUUUGUGAAAGUGUUAAGAGAUGUGAGGAAAAUAGGUAGUGAGCUGAGAAGGGUGGGAGUGAUCAACUGUUUUUAACUAGGUGUCACGAGAAGGGGCUUCUGAGGCAAAGACUUCAAAGUUGAGGUUAAACUCAGGGAUCCAGGCAUGCCUGUCUUGGGGAGGUGUGGUCCACAUUGGUUUAUCACCUGCCAACUACACGCAGGCACUGGAGGGGAUACUAGGGUUGCAAAAAUCAGCACAAAAUAGUCUGUUGCUCUAAGAAGGCUAUUUUCUAAUUCAUACUCAUAAAUAAUUGGAACAUCUUAACGUAAGGGAAUCUGGGUAUUUUAUUGCCCUCUUGGUUUGAGUAGUUAAAAAAUAUUAACUGACAACACCUUUAUUGAACAGUUAAUACCUGUCAAGCCUUCUUCUAAAUAAUUUUCACAUUCUAACAGAAACAGAAAAUAAGACAGGUAUUAUUAUUACUAUAUUAAUAUUUAACAGUUAAUAAAAUCAAUGCAGAGUAGGUAAUUUCCCAGAAACAUAGUUAGCAAUCAGGAGAAGCAGAAACUAAAACCCAAUAGUCUGAUGUCAGAUCUAGCAGUCUUAAUCCUUUGUAUUAUGUUGAAAUGUCUCCUUGCCAUGCUAUUAGAUGUUAUUUCUCCUAUUGAGUUUAGAAGGGUUAUAUGUUUUUUAAAAAUAGGUGAUCUCUUCAUUUUGCAACAAUAAUUAUUUCUAUAUUCCAAUAUUCAACUAUUUUGCAAUAUGGAAAGUAAUAUAUUUUUCAUUAAAAUGACUUAUAAUAUGAUGGUGUCAUUGUUUCUAUUAGUAAUCUCAGAAAACUUGAAAGCACCAUUAUCAGUUAUU
rnacentral:lncRNA from 1 species